CUUGUUUCUUUGCAAGUUUUAUUGAAAGUAAAAUUUGGUUUUGUUGUCACUGUUUGUGUUGUUGCUAAUAAACUUUUUACCCUUCAAUUCUUUCUUCGAAUAGCAACGAAAAUAAUUGUCAAUACAAAUCAAAGCGUGUGAGGUUUUAACAAAGUUACGAGUACACAAGAAGGGCAUCACGUGAUCUCCAAUUUCAGGUUUCUUACCAAGAAUAUUCGAAAAAUUAUGCAGAAGGUUUCAAGGUUUAAUAAAAAUGGAGAUAUCUAAACAUGUAGUCUACUAAAUGUACUGCUUUACGCAACUCCCUUAGGCUCUCAAAAGUCAUUGCCACAUACUCUCAGAAAACAGGGAUGUCCGCAGAUACCCAGAUAUAAGUACAGUAAUCUAUCAAUUGAUAUCAUCAAGCUUAAUGAGAUCGUCCCAAUAUGAAAGAUUACUGCUGAUCCUUAAAAAGAAAAUCCGACAAAGCAACAUAUUAUAAAUAUAUCUGUUAUUUUGUUUCAUAUUUUCAGAUUUUUGUAAUGUAAAAUGAAAAUAAAGAUUUAAAAACAAACGAGAGCAAAUCUUAAAAAUCAUUGAUAGGACCAGAUAGGAUAGAUUGUGAGCACAAAUAUAUCCCCAUCGAUCUUAUAACUAAGGCAAUUAAGCCACUGUAGACCAGUAUACGAAUAUUUUAUUUGGAGAGCUGUGGCAUUAGUUGGUCGAAAUUGUGAAAAGACGCAAAAUGGGCUUCGAUUCUAACCAGCAAGUCCAUUAAUUUUCUUGUGGAUAUCCAUGCGACAAUAAAGGCUAUCCACGAACUCUCACUGCAAAAGACUAUGUACGAAGGCAAUAAUUAGACUUUCAAUGGAAAUCACCGUGAACCUCGUCUCUGGAAAGAAGAUGUUAUUUUCAGCUUAAAGGAUUAUACGUAAGAUAAAUAAAAUCGGGCUUUUACUCCUCUAAUUCAUCCUAAAUGUAGGCAACAUUUAAUGAUGAAAAUAUCAAGUAAUAAAAUUUUGUCUACAUCUAAGCGCCCAGUUGAAUUUAAAGGACACAUCUAGUGAGCAAAACUAAUAUAAAGGCGGACUUUUUAAAUUAAACAAAAAUUAU